AGCGAACGCUGGCGGCAGGCCUAACACAUGCAAGUCGAGCGCCCAGCAAUGGGAGCGGCAGACGGGUGAGUAACGCGUGGGGAUCUGCCCGAUGGUACGGAAUAAUUUCGGGAAACUGGGACUAAUACCGUAUGUGCCCGCAAGGGGAAAGAUUUAUCGCCAUCGGAUGAACCCGCGUCGGAUUAGCUAGUUGGUGUGGUAAAGGCGCACCAAGGCGACGAUCCGUAGCUGGUCUGAGAGGAUGAUCAGCCACACUGGGACUGAGGCACGGCCCAAACUCCUACGGGAGGCAGCAGUGGGGAAUAUUGGACAAUGGGGGCAACCCUGAUCCAGCCAUGCCGCGUGAGUGAUGAAGGCCUUAGGGUUGUAAAGCUCUUUCACCGGGGAAGAUAAUGACGGUACCCGGAGAAGAAGCCCCGGCUAACUUCGUGCCAGCCGCCGCAGUAA
rnacentral:rRNA from 1 species